rnacentral:rRNA from 1 species
CCUACGGGUGGCAGCAGUGAGGAAUAUUGGUCAAUGGGCGCGAGCCUGAACCAGCCAAGUAGCGUGAAGGAUGACUGCCCUACGGGUUGUAAACUUCUUUUAUAAAGGAAUAAAGUGAGGCACGUGUGCCUUUUUGUAUGUAUUUUAUGAAUAAGGAUCGGCUAACUCCGUUCCAGCAGCCGCGGUAAGACGGAGGAUCCGAGCGUUAUCCGGAUUUAUUGGGUUUAAAGGGAGCGUAGAUGGGUUGUUAAGUCAGUUGUGAAAGUUUGCGGCUCAACCGUAAAAUUGCAAUGGAUACUGGCAGCCUUGAGGACAGUUGAGGUAGGCGGAAUUCGUUGUGUAGCGGUGAAAUGCUUAGAGAUAACGAAGAACUCCGAUUGCGAAGGCAGCCUACUAAUCUGCCACUGACAUUGAUGCUCGAAAGUGUGGGGAUCAAACAGGAUUAGAUACCCGGGUAGUC